rnacentral:snRNA from 1 species
AUACUUACCUGGCAAGGGAGAUACUGUGAUCAAGAAAGCAGUUCACCCAGGGUGAGGCUCAGCCAUUGCACUGCGGCUGUGCUGACCCCUGCGAAUUUCCAAAUGUGGAAAUCUCGAUUGCAUAAUUUAUGGUAGUGGGGGACUGCGUUCGCGCUCUCCCCUG